rnacentral:rRNA from 1 species
GUGGAUUAGAUACCCGGGUAGUCCACGCCGUAAACUAUGCAUACAAGCUGUAGUGGGAUUUUACUCCUGCUGUGGCGAAGCUAACGCAAUUAGUAUGCCGCCUGGGGAGUACGGUCGCAAGACUAAAACUCAAAGGAAUUGACGGGGGCCCGCACAAGCGGUGGAUUAUGUGGUUUAAUUCGAAGCAACGCGCAGAACCUUACCUAGGCUUGACAUCCCAUGACAAACGUAGAAAUACGUCUUUGUAGCAAUACACAUGGAGACAGGUGCUGCACGGCUGUCGUCAACU